rnacentral:ncRNA from 1 species
UUUCUGCCAGAAUAGUUAGAGUAGAUAAUGAAGCAGUUGUAUUCGGUGAACCGAAUAGCUAGAGGAAUUGUGGAACGAAGUGUCUACAACUUAUUUUCAAACUUUCAAUGAACAUAAAGCAUAGAUGUCUUGCUUGUUUAAAUAAAGCGUAGGUAUUGAAAAUAUGCUCCAAGUGAGCCAUUUUUGGUAAGCAGAAUUGGUACACUGUGGAAUAAACCG